rnacentral:rRNA from 1 species
UAGGGAAUCUUCCACAAUGGGCGCAAGCCUGAUGGAGCAACACCGCGUGAGUGAAGAGGGGUUUCGGCUCGUAAAGCUCUGUUGUUAAAGAAGAACACGUAUGAGAGUAACUGUUCAUACGUUGACGGUAUUUAACCAGAAAGUCACGGCUAACUACGUGCCAC